UGAGCAAUCUGCCCUUCUCAUCGGAAUAAGCGUUGGAAACGACGUCUAAUGCCGAAUACGACCUCCUUUCGCAUGAUCGGAGGUGGAAAGCUCCGGCGGAGAAGGAUGAGCUCGCGGCCUAUCAGCUAGUUGGUGUGGGUAAUGGCCCACCAAGGCGACGACGGGUAGCCGGCCUGAGAGGGUGACCGGCCACACUGGGACUGAGACACACGCCCAGACCUCCGUAGGGA
rnacentral:rRNA from 1 species